CCUCUUCGAUCUGCUGGGGGCAGAUGAAGUGGAUAUGGGCGUCCAUGGCGCCCGCAGUGAUGAUCUUGCCUUCUCCGGCUAUCGCCUCGGUUGAAGGGCCGAUGAUGAUGUUGACGCCGCUUUGGGUGUCGGGAUUGCCCGCCUUGCCGAUGGCGUGGAUGCGGCCGUCACGCAGGCCGAUGUCGGCCUUGUAGAUGCCGGUGACGUCGACAAUCAGAGCAUUGGUAAUGACGGUGUCGACAGCGCCUUCGGCGCGCGUGGCCUGGGACUGGCCCAUGCCAUCACGG
rnacentral:sRNA from 1 species